UUUAGAAGGUGCAAUGAAUAGGAUAAAGACCAAGGACAGAUUUCUUAUUAUUAACUACAAUAUCACACCUCCCCAUCAGGCUGACCACAGGAUCUAAGUGGCUCUGAAUCCUCCCAGGUUCUCCUCUGGCUUUUGUACACCCUGGUUCCUCUGCUGGGAACACUCUUUCCUCCAGGCCUCCUCUUAGCUGUUUCCAAACCUCUCUCAGCCAACAACCUCACUCUGCUCCCACAGCACCUCACACCUCUCCCAUUAUAACUGCCCACCCACCCUAAAUUGAAACUGCACCCAUCCACCUGCUGGAGAAAGCUUACACAUAGAAAUGAAAACAAGCAGAACCAAGCCAGUGGGAGAUACGGAGAGCAAGCACCAAUGAGAUGCAGUCAUCAGCUGGACAUUCUUCCCACAGGGCUCGAAAGUAAGAGGAUGUGAAGCCUGGAGCUGCUGCAGCCAACUUGUGACUCUGAGGUUAGGGCUUGAAAUAGGAACCAAUGUAAAGGACAAUAGGAACAAGGAAAGAGAGACAAGCCACAUCCCAGUGUUAUCACAGCAGCUCCCCUUCCACAUCUAUGGCCUCUGGGAUUUCUGGUCAUAAUGACAACAAUUACCCUGAAGCAGUUCUUAGCCCAGGCUACACAUUAGAAUUACCUGGGACGGACGGAAGGAAGGAAGGAAGGAAGGAAGGAAGGAAGGAAGGAAGGAAGGAAGGGGAAAAGGAAAAAGCAGUCAAGCUUGGUCCCAUCCCCCUGAGAUUCUGAUGAUUCACAUGGUCUGGAGUGGAGCAGCCCCGGUAGGAGGAGGAGGAGGAGGAGAAAAAGGAAAAGGACAAGAGGAGAAAAAUAGCAUUUCAGCCAUAUCUUUCUCAUUUAGAUACACUUGGUCUGAUAAAGCCUGGCUCCAUGCUAUUCAUGCAAAACAAACACCAGAUAAAUUUAGUUUCCUUUCUCCUCCCUAUCCGUCUGGAAAAGUGGGAACUCCUUGACAUUUUGGUGGAAAGCAGGGGCAGAGACUGUAACAAGAAAGCCUUCAUUCUAGAAAGCAAACCUAGGGAACUCUUUUGGAAGAAGGAGGGGCAUUCCUUCACUCACUGAGUCAGCGGAUGGUCUGGAAACAAGAUGCUGAACAAGCCUGGAGGAGGAGGUCGGUAAGCAGGUGGAAAGUGCCUGCUCAGUCAGGGAGGGGGUGGGACAAUUUCCCUGAGAGUCAUGGGCCCCACUGCGGACUCACUGUAGGAGUCAGGAGGGAAAGGGGGUGGGCAUGGCUGGCUGGGCAGGGAGAUCAGCUGACUCAAAUGUGUGCAGACGGAGCAAGGCAUGCCCUGGUCUCCAGCUGCUGAGGUGAGGUGAGGGAAGGGAGGGCCCUCAGGCCAGAGCAUGGGGGUCUUGAGCACCUAGAGGGCCGUGGGCAAUGCACCAAGCAGUCUGGACUUUGCCCGAGCCAGCUGGACCCAGGAGGCCCAAGAAAACGAGAAAAUGCUGGCAAGGGGCAGAGGCUCUGACCAUCCCCAGGUCCACCGUAGGUCUGAGAUGACACCCUGAAUGUAUUUAAAACUGUUUUGGACUGAGCCCCUGGUCAGUGCCGGCUCCUGUCUACACACACUGACGUGGCCCUGGAUGGAAGGUGUGAAGGGAGAGCCCUUUGGGGCUUGACAAGACAAUUCAUGAAACACCCCAACACCUGCCAUCUAUUUGCAAACACCCUGGGGCAGCUGAUGGAAACACUGGCCAGGUGGCUGCUCCUGGAACACGGAGACCUGCUCCUGUCCCUGCAGGUGGCUGCAAACUCCUCAGGUUCUGGCGCGGCAGGCACUGCCUCCCCAGAGAGAGACCUCGUUCUCCUGUCUGAACUCCUCUCUCAGCCUGAGGUGGAGCCCUAACCCUCACCCAGGCUCACCCUGGCCUGUGAGUGACCCACGUGUCCCCUUACCACUGGCGCUCCUCAGGCAGCCUGACUCCUGUCUGCAGGCAGGAAAGGCUCCUCCCAGCUGAACCGCGGAGCCAGAAAUGGAGGAAGUCACGGCGACAAUAAGAGCAAAACGAUCCAGACAAAAUGUGUUACUAUUGCUGACCACUGAUGACACUUACACUGUCAACAACCCUACAGGGUAAGUAGAAGGACUGCCCAGCGGAACUGGCUCAGCAUAUGAAGUUCUACUUUACUUUUCAGUUUGGGACUGCAGCAGGAAACGAGAAGCAGGUCCCUGGCCAUACUCCAGCAACGUGGCAGCUCAGUUACUGCUCCCAAAAUGCCUCUGCAGCUGUCAACUCACCCCAAGGAUCUUUAUUUAUGGAACCAGGGUGCCUUCUUCAAGAAACAGAAAUGACGCUGUGUGCUGGCUGGGAAAGUUGCCUCCGGCUUCUUCUACCUUCAAGUCAGAGCCAACGGCACCUGGAGCAGGUAGAGCGAGCCAGCCAGUGAGCCUGGUGGUCAGAGCUACACUGACUUCUCCCGCAGUCUCCACAUGGCUGAGACCACAGCCCGGCUCCAGAGGUCGGCCACACAGGCCAGAUGCCUAGUAACCACGGCGUGGAAUGGAGGAGAGUAUCACAACCCAACCGCCUCUGAGCUGCCCGCUGCUUCUCGGGUACCCGGGAGGUCUUGGCAAAUCACCUCCCUCAGCUCCAGCGGUGAGCCCCUGACCAAGCCCUGCGCGAUCAGAGCAUCCAAAUGCCUGACCACAGUGACGGGUUCAGAGACAGGCACGUGACCUAAGUCAGACCAAUGAGAUCCAGUCCUGGGAUUUGUGUGCAAACAGCCAGAAGAGAGACAUUACCUUCCCACAGAGGGCUCUGAAGCUGACUGGGUGGAAGCCUGAUCCUCAGGUGGGAUCAAGUGGAGCAAGUGCCUGAGACGAAGGCAGCUCAGAGGACAGCAGUGCUAAGCGGUGAAGAGAAAGGCAGAGUCCUAAUGAUCUUGUUUGAAGCUCUGGAUCUGGCCAUAUCUGAGGCCAGUGGCACCCUUGAGCUUUCCAGUUUCAUCAGCCAACUAAUUCUCCUUUUGCCUGAGCCAGUCUGAGAUGGGUUUCUGUCACUCACAACCAAGAGUCCUGGAUAAGGACUCCCAGAUUCCUAAGUUACCUCUGGUUUACCAGAGUGUCUAGGAAGGUUACUUGCUGGGGCGCAAGGCAGUAGUGAGUGACUUGCUCAAGGUCGUGAAACUGCUUCGUGAGAGAGCGGAGACCAGAACUUGGCUUGCAGACAGUUCUCCAUAUGACAUCCUGCCUCUUCUCCUGUCUAGGGGUCUGGCAUUGGCCCCAACCAAAGCUACCCUAAAGCCAACAUAUAGAGUGAGAUGCUCACUUAGCAACACCCCACCCCACUCUCAAGCCAUGGCAGGGUCCAAACCACAGACAAGCAGAGGUGAAAAGAGAGCUGCCCCAUAGCACUCAGAGCAGAGGCUGUCUCCAGCCUGAAGGUGGAUUUUUCAUCUGCACUUGAAUCUGGAGUCAGUGGGGAACCAGAGAGAAGGGAAAAGAGAAGAGUCCCGAGGGGUCGUCUCCAGUUUGUCCCUUGACUCAGCUGCUGCCACUGGGGAGUCAGCCUCAAGGACUCACACACCAGUCACCGUGCCUGCUGACUUUGCUGGCAAAGCACUCUCUGUCCUUGGACUUACACACUGGGCUGGGGAGGGAUGGUUUGCCCCAAAUUACAGAGCAUAACUGCCCACAGUGAUAACUAUCUGCCUGGCUCCCGUGCUCAAUGUCACGAUGUUGAGAGUGCGGCUGGAAAUCCUGAGAAUAAGCUUUUCUCCUUUGUUGGCUAACCUCUCCUUAUUGUUGUCAUUUCCUUGUAUUGUGGUUUGGGAAUAUAGUCUAUAUAUGAUAGUCAUUCUUUAAUGUUUGUUGAGACUAGCUUUGGGCCAGUAAGUGAUCAACUUUUGUAAAUGUUCCCCAUAUGCAUGAAAAAUAUGUAUUUAAAUGACAAAUUCAAGGUUAGUAUUCUCUAUGUAUUUAUCCUACCAAGGCUGAUAAAGAUGACAUUCAAAAUUUCUGUGUCUUUACUAAUUUUUUUUUGUCUACAAGAGCUCUUAUGUUCUAGAAAGCUGUAGCAAAAUCGCUCACUAAAAUUUUAAACAUUUCCAUUUCUUCUCAUAAUUCUGUGUACUUUCUGUGUAUUUUGAAAUAAUGUUGGUAGGGGAUACAAGUCCAAGUAUAUCUUCCUAGUGAACCGUUCCUUUGACAUAUGACCUUAUGACUGACAUAAUGAUAUAUGAUUGACAUAUGAUUGACAUAAUUUGACCUUAUGAAUGACAUAAGGAAGGCCCUGUUUCUCAUUCAUUUUGUCUGAUAAUAACAUUGCUACAUUGGUAGGGAAACCUGGGUGGCUCAGUCAGUUAAGCAUCUGACUUCGGCUCAGGUCAUGAUCUUGCAGUUUGUGAGUUCGAGCCCUGUGUUGGGAUC